rnacentral:tRNA from 1 species
GCCUGGUUAUAUCAGUCGGUAGAUAGUUUGACUCUUACCCACCCUUGCGGUUCAGUUAGGACAUCAAAAUGUCAUGGGUUCGAGCCCCAUACUAGGCU